rnacentral:rRNA from 1 species
UACGUAGGGUGCGAGCGUUGCCCGGAUUUAUUGGGCGUAAAGGGCGCGUAGGCGGCCACGCACGUCCGUUGUGAAAUCGCUCGGCUCAACUGGGGAGGGUCGUGCGAUACGGUCGGGCUGGAGGCCAGUAGGGGGAUGCGGAAUUCCGGGUGUAGUGGUGGAAUGCGUAGAGAUCCGGAGGAACACCAGCGGCGAAGGCGGCAUCCUGGACUGGUCCUGACGCUCAGGAGCGAAAGCGUGGGGAGCGAUCCGA